AAUUCCCAAGGUAAUUGUCACCUAGUGCCCACAACAAAUAUAGACACACAUGAAUAUAUGCAAACUUAGAUUCAAUCUAACAAAUAUAUUAAAGAUAAACAAAAGAUAAAUAAGGUAAAAUAAAUAAAUAAAUACUACAUAAGAUAUGCCAAAAAAUAUAACGUAAACGUAAAUAAACACAAGGAAUGAGGGUCGGGGGGGGGGGGGCUUCAGCGAUCAGCUCUGUCUAAGUUGUGUUACUCGAAUCGCUUGGGGUGAUGUCAAGCUUGUCCGAGGGGGCCCCAAGUUUUAUGGAAAGAUGACACAGAUCCUUUCUGCGAGAACCGAAGCUUCUCUAACUAGAGACACCGCAAGACAUCUUGUAUCCAACUGUUAUGGCUCGGCGGAGACGCAAGCUUCCAUUUAAAAAGAAUUGUACGCCUAGCCGUUUAUAAAUUAUUUAAUGUUUCCCUGCGGCCCCGUAUCAAAUGCGUCACGGAGCGGUACCGGUCCCCGGACCGGUGGUUGGGGACCAUUGCUAUAAGAGUUAUAAAAUAAACAGGCAUAUACGCCCACCCCUACUCAGUAAAUGCAGCACUUCCUGUAUUGACAUUAGGACCCCUCCUUUAUAGCAGCUGAUUGGUUCCAGGCCUGACACUGAUAAACAGAUUUUCGCCAGGUGUGAAUAUUACUGACACAUUUAAAACUAAAUGAGCGCCAUGCCAGAAGAAAGCAGGCGGACUAAAAAAAAAGGUAAAUUUUCUGUAUUUAUUCAACUUGUUUGCCGGCCAUUUAAUGUGUGUUCAUCCCUGUCGGCAAUUUCUGUAUUGACAUUAGGACCCCUCCUUUAUCGCAGCUGAUUGGUUCCAGGCCUGACACUGAUCAACUGAUUUUCGCUAAUUGGGAAUAUUAUUGACACAUUUAAAAGUAAAUGAGCGCCAUGCCAGAAGAAAGCGGGCGGACUAAAAAAAGCAUGCAUGACCACAGUCAACCAGCGUGUCCCCGGAGGCUGACGCAACAUGACGCCAUGGAUGCCUUCAGACGAGCAGUGCUAUGCUCCAACUAAGGAUGGCUUCCAAAUCCGGUACUUCUUUGGCACAGACUGAAUCCCGCCGGUCCUACGGUACGCCCGGUUGCACUUUGGCACUUGGCGAUCACUCCAGCAGCACCGAGAGCCGACUCAGCCAAACUACCUCCAGGGUCACGGCGAGAUAUGAGCUUCGCUGUGUGAAAAUUUCCUGAUGCUAUCCUCACUGGAGUCAUGUGCAGAGAAGCAUCGGAGGAACUCCUGAGCUUUUCGUCUUCUGCUUUGCUGAGGCGUUCGUUGUUGUUCUUCGUUUAGAAUAAAGUGUUUAUAUUCCGACAAAUCCCUUGCCAUGGCGUCCCCCCAGGAAAUGUUUAACUGCAAGAUAAAAUUAACUGUCGAAUAUUUUUUUUAAUCAAGCAUAAUGCAGAUUAAUUAUUUAGUCAAUUUAAUUUAAAAGAUCGAUUUAAUGAUUUUGAAAAUAGGGCGGGGCAAUAAAACGCAAUAACUGAUAUCAGUAAAAAAUACAAUCGAUAAAACGUUGAAAAAACAUUUUUAUAUUUCGUUGGAAACAAGGUUGGUUGCACGAACAAAGGCCCUCGCUCUCUGGUAACCGAGUAACACAGGAACUGAUCACUGAUUAGUGGGCGUGACACGCUAACAGCCAAUCAGGUAGCAGUAUCCACUACCAAAGUUGGAUCUGAGGCUAGGUAUUUCAACAGUUCAACAGGUCAGAAGUGCCAAGCUCCUGGACUGCACUCUAUCCUGGUCAAAUCAUGUCAGUGAUAUAGUUACAAAGAUGGGAAGGGCUGUUGGUAUUUCCAGGAAAUGUGCUGCUUUUGUUGAUCCACCUCUUCUUUUUCAGAUUGUUAAAGGGGAACAUUAUCACAAUUUCA